CCUCUUCCAAGCGGAUGAUGGCUUUGCUUCUCCAGGAUGCAAAGACACUGGCCUGAUUGCUCUGGAAAAACUUUCAGCCAAGGCUUUGGCAAUCAAGAUUGACUUUGGAGACUGACUUUGCUUCUUGAACUGUUCUGGACCUGUUUCUUCCCAGCCUUUGAUUGGAUACACCAUUUUUGUGAUAUACCACAGCAAUCCAGCAGCAAUUCCACGCUUACACAUCUCCUCUAAGAAGACAAUAAUUCUCAUGGAGAAGCAUCUGUGCAGAUCUGUUCCUUGGUCCUCAGUAACAACAUAGGAUCCCAUGCAGCAAGGAGGAGGCAAGAGAUGACAGCUCACCACACAAGACCAAUCUGGGUGACAAAGCAAAGUCCUCUCUUUGCCUUCCUGUGCAGCAGGACUGCCAGAAGUUACAGCAGUGCAAUACUCAGCAGGAUGAUAAGGAACCUGCAGUCCGGAAGAGAAGCAGCCCUGACAUCCCUGUGUUCCUGCUGCUCAGUGACGUGGUUGUGUAUGGGAUGCAAUCAGUGCUGUGCAGCUGCUCCUACAUUAGUGUGCAUCGGAGGCACUCGAUGGGAUGGACAAAUCUUCUCUCAGCAUCGUCUCAAGACUGCUGGGCCUUUGCUGUUUAUUCCUCGCGUGGUUUUGUAUGGAAUCAUAGAAUCAUUACCAUUGGAAAAGACCAUAAAGGUAAUCUAAUACAACCAUCAACCCAUCACCACCAUACCACUAAACUGUGAAAUAGGAACCAUAGUAUCAGGAGAGGACACAGAAUGUAUCUCCUUUUUUUCCAGCCUCACCUUUUUCCUUUCUCCCUACCAAUUCUCAACAUGAAUGGGCCACCUAACAUAGUUCUCAGCCAGGUUAGAUCCCAUCUCUUACAAGUAGAAGAUCGCUUCUCUUAAUGCUAUGGUUCCCUCCAGCCUGCCUGGGUCUGCGAAGGCUGGGAUGGUGCAGCACAGUCGUGCUCUCCUUAUGUGCCAUUAUUUGCCAGAUGUGACUGAGGUACAGUCUUCCUGGAUCUUGAUUUCUGUCUGCUGAGCCUCCUGGUGCUCUCAGCAAUGCAGUUUAUUUGCCUUGGGGUGGAUGGGAAGGUCUCCCUUUGAGCUGUGAAAUCAUCUUCUGUUGGCCCUGGUGAAGUCAGACCCUGAAAUACACAUGGGGAAGGCAAGGAAAUGGUAGUGUGGAAACUGAGCGUAGGGGGUGAUUAGUAAAUGU